UUGGCAUAUAUUUGGUUUUCAUACGGUAAACUAAAGAGAUGAUUUUUAAUAAAGAUUAAUGGAUGAUUAAAAUUUUCGAUUCACUUCCUCUUCAUGAUUUGGUAAAUGCGGUCCUAAGUUACCUUUUCACUCUUAUUGUCACGAUGAAUUAACUAAAUAGUUCAGACCGGUGUUAUUGACUAAGAACUCUCUUCCAUAAAAAUAAUUCUCUAAUGUCUUAGGUCAAUUCAAAUUCAUAGAAAGAUUUAUGCACGUUAAUUCUAUUUAUCAUAGUUCAAUAAUCCGAUAUUUCUAAAACGACUAUUGACCAAACAAUUAUUUCAAAUUCAGGUUUCAAAAGUUAUGGUUAGUAAUCAUUCGAUUCCUAAAUUCAAUUCAUAAAUUCGUCAAUUCAUAAAGAACAUUACACGCAGAAAUAACUGAAUAACAAUAAUAUUAAAAAGGUCUCAAGGAUCCUCAACAAUUUAUAUGGUUCAAAUCAAUUCAAGAAAAAUCAUCUACUAGUUCUAAUCAAUAGAGAUUUAGCUACUCAUAAUAAACAUAACAAUUAAAUUAUGAAUAUUAAACAUAAUUUAAUGUUUAGAAGCACCUUUCAAAUAAGACUCCAAUGGAGAAUUGCUUUGUUCCUUGGUUCCAGCCGUAUUCCUCUUUUUCCAAAAGUCUCCGUAAUAAUGUGUGUCCCUCCUUAGGUUAAAAAGCUCAUCUAUAUAUAUCCUCUCAAAGAACAAUCACGUGCAAUUAAAAAGGGAUCCAGCCAUUAGUGCACUGACACAUCAUCAAGUAGCCCCACUAAAAAUACAGUGGCUUCAGACAUAAAAUGUUUCAAAACUUCCCAUUAUUUCUAAGUAUUUUUCUUCUUUUUAACAUUUGUCUUCAAACUUCUUGCUAUGUCAAUUUCUUAAAAUAUUCUUCUUUUUGACCAUGCAUUCUUCCUGAUCUAACCUGAUGAUCAGAAAGGUUGAGGCCGGUCCGUUGAGCAAGCGUCCACACCGAAGGGGGAGUUUGUACCUGCAGGUGCUCCGAUGCCUAAGUCAGCAAGAGAACAAGAGAUACAAAGAAGAGAGAGAAAGAAAGUGUAGAAUGGUUUAGAAUACCUGGCUCUCCUGUCUAGGAGAGCUUAUAUAGUUGCCCCCAGCGCUGGGCCAAAGGUUGGUCUAUUGGGCCGGGAUAACCGGCCCAAUAGACUCAACUGCCAAGAUAGUCCUUGUAUCGUAGGGGAGGCCGUUAUUUGCCUCUAUCUUGGUUGGAGUCGUUCCGCUAUUCGCGGGUAAAGGAUAAGCUCCGUGAUAGAUGUGGUUGGAUGAAUGAGCACGUGCUAAAAGUGUUGCUUAGCUGUUAAGCUACGGUAGAAUGGAUCAACAUGCAUGGAUAGAUGAGCACGUGUUUAACGUGAUGCCUAUCUGUUAUGUCGAGCAGGGCACGUCACUGGCUGACAUGUCGGGGAAGUCUCCCCUUAUUGGGCUGUGCCCCAAAUGUCGGGCAGAAGCGAUUGGGCCAGCUCUUGGCCCAGUCCAGAACACUUCCUAAAACUUAUAAAACUAUCGGGGAAACGGUCAUUUUAGUCCCUGAAUGUGCAACUCGCUGUCAUUCUGGUCCCUGACUGAAGAAAAAAUACAAAAUAGUCCCCGACUUUACAAUCCAUUAGUCACUUUAGUCCUUGACGUUAAAAAUGACCGUUAACUUUACAAAAAAGCUGAUGUGACAUUUUUGGUGACACGUGGCACGUUGACUAGGCAUUAGUUGGACAAGUGGUCUGAUGAUAUGGCGAUGGACGAAAAUGACAAUACGAGGGACCAAAAUGACAAUAUUUUUUCUUUUCUUUUUUUUCUUUUCAUUUCUUCAUCUUCUUCCUCUCACUCCUUGUUCAUAGAUUUAACAAUAAAAUCCAGAAUUUUAAACCCAAAUUUUUUAAAAUAUCACCAAUAAAAAAUUUGUAAAAAUUUAACCAAAUUUUCAAACAAAAUCGCUUAAACCUCAAAUGAAAAUAUUUUUGAUACAAUUUGGUUGUUCCAAUUUUUCCAGAAGUUAUGGUAAAUAGCAAUCGAUUGAUGGUUGGGAUUUAGGGGAAGAUGAAAGUGCAUAAACAAUUGGGCGUAGCUGAGAGCAGUGAAGUGAAUUCAUUUGAGAAAAGAGGAAAAGUCAAAGAGAAGAAUGAAAGUUGGAAAAGAGGAACAAUAUUAUGAUGAUCUAUUGUUAUGUGUUUUGGGUUUGGUGGGAUUUAGAUGACAGUUGAUGAGAGAAAAGACAAAGUCGCUUUAAAAUUUUUGAGAUUUAGGGAUUUUGUUAGAAGAUUUUGUAAUUUUUUUAUUGAUGAUUUUUUUAAAAAAGUUGGAUUUAAAAUUCUGUGUCUUAUUGAUGAAUGUAUGAAGAUGAAAAGGUGAAGAAGAUGAAGAAGGUUGAAAGGAAGAAAAGAUGAAGAAAUGAAGAAGAAAAAAAUAUUGUCAUUUUGGUACCUCGUAUUGUCGUUUUGGUCCCUCGCCAUAUCAUCAGGCCACGUGUCCAACUAAUGCCUAGUCAACGUGCCAUGUGUCCCCAAAAAAAUGUCACAUCAGCCUUUUUUUGUAAGGUUAACGGUCACUUUAAACGUCAGGGACUAAAGUCAUUAACAGAUUGUAGAGUCGGGGACUAUUUUGUAUUUUUUCUUCAGUCAGGGACCAGAAUGACAGCGAGUUGUACAUUCAGGGACUAAAAUGACCAUUUCCCCUAAAACUAUCAUAAAAAUUGCAAUUAAAUUAACAAAUAAGUGACUGUCAUCAGCAAAUAUCACAAACAGCAUGAUCAUCAACUUUUACAAAAGAAAAUUGUUUAUGCAUAUCUAACAACUUGCUAUUGGACAAAUGUCCCAAUCCAUAAUGCCAUAAGGCUUCUUUAAGAAUGACAUGAGAAGGAGUAACUUGAGAAGAAGCAAUGGUAGUCGAAUUAGGCUGAACUUGGUUCUGAUUAAAGUAACACAAUCCUCCAUUGAGCAUACCCAAACAUUUAUUAUUAUCAAAAGACACAAGGAAAUGGUUAUCAAGGCCAAGUUUAGGAACAUAGAUCAAAUUCAAAUUGAAAUCAGGUACCAAAAGCACAUGUGAAAUGGUGAAAAUCGAAGAAAAUUUCACUGAACCAGAAUAAUUUGCAAUGGAAACUUGUCCAUN
rnacentral:lncRNA from 1 species